GACGAACGCUGGCGGCGUGCUUAACACAUGCAAGUCGUACGGGAAGGCCCUUUCGGGGGUCCCCGAGUGGCGAACGGGUGGGUAACACGUGCGUAACCUGCCCACAACUUUGGGAUAACGCUAGGAAACUGGGGCUAAUACUGGAUAUGUAAUCCUGCUGCAUGGUGGGGGGUGGAAAGCUGCGGCGGUUGUGGGUGGACUCGAGGCCGAUCAGAGUGGUGGUGGGGUAGUGGUCUACCAAGGCGGCGACGGGUAGCCGGCCUGAGAGGGUGACCGGCCACAGUGGGACUGGGAUACGGACCCGACCCCUACGGGAAGCAGAAGUGGGGAAGAGUGCAAUAGGGGCGCAAGCCAGAUGCAGCACCGGCGCGUGCGGGUGGAUGGUGUUGGCGUUGUAAUCCGCUUUCAGCAUGGACCAGGCUGUUAGUGACAGUACCGGCAGAAUAAGCACCGGCUAACUACGUG
rnacentral:rRNA from 1 species